CCUACGGGAGGCAGCAGUGGGGAAUAUUGGACAAUGGGGGGAACCCUGAUCCAGCGACGCCGCGUGAGUGAAGAAGUAUUUCGGUAUGUAAAGCUCUAUCAGCAGGGAAGAAAAUGACGGUACCUGACUAAGAAGCCCCGGCUAACUACGUGCCCGCAGCCGCGGUAAUACGUAGGGUGCAAGCGUUCUCCGGAUUUACUGGGUGUAAAGGGAGCGUAGACGGUGCAGCAAGUCUGAUGUGAAAGGUCGGGGCCCAACCCCGGGACUGCAUUGGAAACUGUUGAACUGGAGUACAGGAGAGGUAAGGGGAAUUCGGAGGGGAGGUGUUAAAUGCGUAGAUAUUAGGAGGAAAACCAGUGGCGAAGGCGGCUUACGGGA
rnacentral:rRNA from 1 species